rnacentral:rRNA from 1 species
CCUACGGAGGCAGCAGUAGGGAAUAUUGGACAAUGGGCGAAAGCCUGAUCCAGCAAUGCCGCGUGAGCGAUGAAGGCCUUAGGGUUGUAAAGCUCUUUUACCCGAGAUGAUAAUGACAGUAUCGGGAGAAUAAGCCCCGGCUAACUACGUGCCAGCAGCCGCGGUAAU